GUGUGUGUGUGUGUGUGUGUGUGUCAGUCACCAAAUCUCAACCCAAUUGAACACUAAUGGAACGUUGCUGGCGUUUUCCACCACCAUAAAAAAGGAAUGUAUCUGGGAAGACCAGUUUCAUCCUCCACUUGAGUUCCCUUGGAGAACCGAUGCCAAGGCACAUUGAAGCUGUCCUGGUCGGCUCAUGGUGGCCCAAUUAAAGGGAAGGUUUAAUGGUUGGCCCUAUUAAAGGGAAGGUUUAAUGGUUGGCCCAAUUAAAGGGAAGGUUUAAUGGUUGGCCCAAUUAAAGGGAAGGUUUAAUGGUUGGCCCUAUUAAAGGGAAGGUUUAAUGGUUGGCCCUAUUAAAGGGAAGGUUUAAUGGUUGGCCCUAUUAAAGGGAAGGUUUAAUGGUUGGCCCAAUUAAAGGGAAGGUUUAAUGGUUGGCCCCAAUUAAAGGGAAGGUUUAAUGGUUGGCCCUAUUAAAGGGAAGGUUUAAUGGUUGGCCCCAAUUAAAGGGAAGGUUUAAUGGUUGGCCCUAUUAAAGGGAAGGUUUAAUGGUUGGCCCUAUUAAAGGGAAGGUUUAAAGGGUAGGUAGCAUACAAGGGAGCCACAUGUAACAUACGGUUUCGCAUCAAAUGUCCCAAAGUUACACCUCACUAUUCUAUUAUUCUUCGUGGGAAAUAAACGAAACAAUGUCGAAGUCAUGUUCGGUAAAAAAUGGAGGACCCGGCAAGGCCUUUUCCCUAUAACUGUAAACACCAACAGAAGUUUGACUUCGAAUGUAAAACUUGAUAAUUAAAACCAAAAGUGUUUGCACUCGUGACUCUACUGGUUUCCAAUUGCAUUUCCUGCCAAACCUACAGUUAGGUAGAUAGAUUCCAGAUGUCAGCAAAGUACUAAGCCAAGGUGGAAAAAGUUGCAAAACUCCCGUAGCCUACUUCAGAGAAAAUGCUGAGAAGGUUCCCCCCCCC